UGGAUGUGCAGCCUAGUCCAUGGAGCCGCUGUCCCUCCGCAUGAGAAGCAUGAUCUCCGGCCGCAUUGUUCGCUCUCGCUGCUUCCACUCGGUGAUGCAACACUCCGUGCCCUCUCAUUGGAUCCCAGAGUCUGCAGGGUGAACGAGACGCGCCAGGGUCGGGAUGAAGAGGUUUCACACCCCGAGAAGCUGAGCAUGUGGGCUAGGGCGACGAUAAAAUGCCUCGCUGCAGAGUUGGGGCGUGAAGUGUUAAAGAAUGUGGUGUUUCAAGUUCCAGUUUAUUAAAAUCGGACUACAUAAAUAUUAACAGCCAGACGAAACAGGCCACGGCGAAUCCACAAAAUAUACAUCACAGGCGUAAAACAAAUUCCACAAGUCAGUUAAUAAAACAUAGUUCAUCAUUCAUAAAGUGUACAGCACAGGUCGCUGCCUCAGUGGCGGCAGGGUAUUCAUUAGUCUCACGGCCCGAGGGAAGAGACUGUUGGCCAGCCUGGCAGUUCAGUGAAUCUGGAACACAACUGACAAGGCUGGAAUUUGUUCCACCCAUGCUCGAGAAGGUGGCAGUCUCAGCAUCUUAUUAACCCAUUAACUCUCUCCCAGGAUGUUGUUCCAGUGGUGAUGAGAUACAGCUUCUAAUGCUAGACAAUGGCGAUUUGAUUCUACCUUACUGCAAGAUCCGAAUUUUAUUAAAUUUAUGAAGGAACAGAUCGAUUUCUUCUUUUCAACUAAUUCCAAGGAUGAUAUUUCUUGCGGAACACUUUGGGACACUUUUAAAGCAUAUAUACGUGGACAGAUUAUCUCGUACUCUGCUGGUCUGAGAAAAUGCAUUAAGAAGGAAACUCUUUUAUUGGUUGAUAAAAUGAAAGAGAUUGACAAGAAAUAUUCGAUCACUCCUGGUAAGGAGCUUUACAAACAAAGGGUUGAACUUCAAACGGAACAUAGUUUAUUACUUACAUCUUUGAUUGAAAAUCAAUUAAUGAAAACGAGAUCUGAUUUUUAUAUACAUAGUGAUAAAUCGGGUAAACUGUUAGCUAGUCAAUUGAAGAAUGCUUUGGUUAAAUGUCAAAUUACUAAGAUCCAUCAGCAGAAUGGGGAUUUGACAGUUAACCAUGAUGAGAUAAAUAAAUGAUUUCAAGAUUUUUAUACCUUCCUGUAUCAUUCUGAAUUCCCUCAUGAUCGUAAUACCAUGUGUGAUUUUCUUGGGAAAUUGAAUUUUCCAAAAUUAUCAUCAGAUGAUAUUUCAAUAUUAGAAACUCCUAUUACAGAUGCAGAAAUUAAAGGGGUUAUUUCCUCCAUGAAUUCUGGGAAAGCACCAGGUCCAGAUGGGUAUACAGUAGAAUUUUUAAAAUGUUUUUCGGCUACUCUUUCUCCUUGGUUAUGCAGGGUUUUAGAAGAAAUUAGAUUGGGCAAUUUGCCACAUAGAGCUUCCAUUUCUUUAAUAUUGAAGAAAGAUAAAGACCCUACUGACUGCGCAUCCUAUAGACCAAUACCUUUAUUGAAUGUAGAUUCCAAGAUCUUUUCCAAGUUACUGGCAUCCAGGUUGGAGAAGGUAUUACCCCAAAUUAUUUUGGAAGAUCAAACCGGUUUUAUUAAAAAUCGUUAUUCUUUUUUCAAUGUUAGGAGAUUAUUGAAUAUUGUUUAUACUCCUUCAAAUAGCACUUCAGAAUGUGUUAUUUCAUUAGAUGCAGAAAAAGCAUUUGAUGGAGUUGAAUGGCUAUACUUAUUUAAUGUGCUGGAGAAGUUUAAUUUUAGUCUGACAUUCAUUUCCUGGAUUAAACUGAUAUAUCAUACUCCAGUAGCAGUGCUUACUAACAAUCAAAGAUCUCCCUUUUUUCGUUUAUUUCGGGGCACUAGACAAGGCUGUC